UACGAAGGGGGCAAGCGUUGUUCGGAAUUACUGGGCGUAAAGGGCGCGCAGGCGGCCGACGUAGUCAGGCGUGAAAGCCCCGGGCUUAACCUGGGAAUUGCGUUUGAUACUCGUUGGCUGGAGUUCGGGAGAGGAUGGUGGAAUUCCCAGUGUAGAGGUGAAAUUCGUAGAUAUUGGGAAGAACACCGGUGGCGAAGGCGGCCAUCUGGACCGAAACUGACGCUGAGGCGCGAAAGCGUGGGGAGCAAACAGGAUUAGAUACCCUGGUAGUCCACGCCGUAAACGAUGUGUGCUAGACGUUGGUGGGCCUAGCCUGCCAGUGUCGCAGCUAACGCGUUAAGCACACCGCCUGGGGAGUACGGCCGCAAGGUUAAAACUCAAAG
rnacentral:rRNA from 1 species